AAAUAUUGAUACACACACACAUACACAGAGCCUAAAGGGAACAGUAUUUGUGCCAUGAAGUGUUAACAAGAAUGUGAGGUCCAUAUUAGAAAAGCUGCUAAAAUCAUAAAAGUUUGCAGAAUUGUAAUAAAUGAUGAAUAUGAAUUAGUGGUCUGUGAUAGUGUAUUAAUUUGUAGGGAAAAAAAACAUGUUGCCCAAGGUGUAAUUGAACCCACGACCUUUGGGUUGCAGACCUGUGUUAUUACCAACUGCGCCACUGGGAAAGAGCGAGCGCCUGGAAAACAGGGUGAUGAGCAGUCAGAAUUAGAUUGCGGUGAGAGGCGAAAAACGCUGUUUUUUGGAGUUACAAAACGUCGUGUAACUCAAAAACUAGGUGGACUAGAAGCAUAAUUCUUGUACUGGGUGAAUCAGCGGACUUUGGUGUGCUUUGACUGUGAUUUGCAUUGCUCUUUGUACAUCUGUCGCUGAGAUAUGACGAGAGAAGAAAGGGCAGACCUCAGAUAUGAUUGGCUGGCUGGGAAGCCGUGCAGGCCCUGAUAUGUAAAUUUUAUAUGUAUCAGUCCUCACAGAGGAUUAGCUGCCUGGGGACCUGGCAGAAAUAUAUACAAAUAGUAUGAUUAAGCAUAAAUACUACAUUUAGUAGAAAUACUAUGUUUUAGCACAAAUACUAUAAAAUGGCAGGAAUACUAUAAUUAAGCAGAAAUACUAUAUUUGGUAGUAGUAGUAGUAUUAGUGGCACGGUGGCAGCACGGUGGCACGGUGGUUAGCACUGUGCCGCACAGCAAGAAGGUCCUGAGUUCGAUUCCACCAUCAGGCCGGGGUCUUUCUGUGUGGAGUUUGCAUGUUCUCCCCGUGUUUGCGUGGGUUCCCUCCGGGUACUCCGGCUUCCUCCCACUGUCCAAAGACAUGCAGUUUGAGGGGAUAGGUUAAUUGGAUAAUCCAAAUUGUCACUAGGUGUGAAUGUGUGAGUGAAUGUGAGCGUGAGUGGUUGUUUGUCCCUGUGUGUUGGCCCUGCGACAGACUGGCGACCUGUCCAGGGUGUACCCCGCCUCUCGCCCUAUGACAGCUGGGAUAGGCUCCAGCGCCCCCCGCGACCCUGGAAAGGAUAAGCGGAAGCGAAUGGAUGGAUGGAUGGAUGGAUACUAUAUUUGGCAGAAACACUAUAUUUAGUACAAAUCUUAUGAAAUAGCAGAAAUAGUAUGAUUUAGCAGAAAUGCUGUAUUUGGCACAAAUACUGAAAAGCAGCAGAAAUGCUAUGACUUAGCACAACAGUAAUAACUUAUAGAAAAAUUGGAAAAGCAAAAUGGACAGCUGGAAAAAUCCUGAACAUGCUAAGGGUCCCUCAAAUCUAAUUGUUAAUUGAAAAAAAAAAUCAGCAAAAAAGUAUAACAGUGACACAAUCACAAAUAUGGACACAUAUGGAAACACACAUGCACAGAGAGACACACACAGGAUCAAACACAGGAUCAAAUUCAGUCAACCAGUCUAAAUAUAUUGAAUUUAAAUCACAUAAUAAGAUGCUCC
ensembl:lncRNA